GGUAAACGUGUGGCUAUGGUGCAGUGUCAAGACAGGAGUGGUGGGAGCUGGACUUAAGCCCUGACUUAAGGCUUUCCUAUUCAAAACUCUAAACCCACCUGCUAGCCAAAUAAGAUUGGGACACGAGAGCCGUAUUUGCCCUUCUGGGCCACCGGGUAUCUGAUGAAGAUAUCUCAUUACCUCAGGCUAGUCAAGACAGUUUAGGAUCCUGAUUCUAUAACAUCACUGAGGCUGCGGCUAUGGGUGUAGAAUGGCAGGUGUCUGCCUUAGCCCAACAUAUGGCAACCCUGAAUAAUACCUGACAUGCAAUAACUCUACUACAUGAAGAAAUUCCCGGAUGAGACAAGUAGCGUUACAAUAGAAUACAUGUGGCCUAGGACAUGUUUACCACAGCCCAAGGGGGGACCUGUGCCCUGAUCAAAGCAGAAUGCUGUUUAUAUCCCUGAUUAUGCCCACAAUAUUUCCUCCGCAAUGGCCUUCUCAUGUGCUCAUGUACGGGCCACUGACAACCAGUCCACAGACCCAGCAUCCGCUUGGAUACAAUCCCUCCCCUCCACCUGGCGACAUGUUUUCUUUGGUGUCCUUGUCUUUUUACUGCUUCUUUUAUUUUCAUGUUGUGCUCUCUAUUGCUGUCGUGGACUCCCGCUACAGUGCUCCUCUCUGUGUCUGGCUCGAGGGAAGCUGCGGAAAAAUGGCGCAAUAAGACUGUAAGGGCCAUUCGGGCACAUGGGGCGUGGAGUGCAGGGGCAUUAGCCCGCAUGCCCCUUUAACGGCCAUGUGUCCUUGAGGCUUCUUAUCCGGGUACAUGCCAACACUCACGAUGAUAGCAGGCCUGGGCUUGGCCACCCCAGCUGCUUUCUCGUGGGAUAAUUGGUACAAAGACCCUCAAGGUCUUGAGGAGGCUGUGGGGUAGACGGGGGUUUCUGGUCCUUGGAAUGCAAGUCAUACAGGAAUGAUUCCCCUUGGCAAGCAUGCAGCCUUUGUUCCUCUGCCCACUUAAGCAAGCUUCUCUCAGGGGCCAGCAGCGGGUGCACAUUGCUGUCCAGCCGGCCGCCACUGGACCUUCCCUGUACAUAACUCCCAAUAAACCUAUACGUCUCAUUAAAAACAAAACAAAACAAAAACUCUGCAUUUUAAAUACGCUUUGUGUGCUAUUAACAGUAAAAAUUACACUUGUAAAUGUAUUAAAUUAGAACUCUAUUGUACAACACACUCUGCUAGUGAUUACUCAAAACCUACCACUAUCCUCCACCUUCUGCCUUGUUGACAGAACCCUGAUUUGGUUCAGAGAAGCAAUGUAUCCAGUCUCACAUGGAUCAAAAUUGGUCUAAACUAAUCAUGAUAAUCCUUCCUUACUUUUCCAUCUCCCUAUGCAAGCGGAGGUGGCCAUGUGACCCACUUCUGGCCAACGAGGCAUAAGCAGAAAUCUGCUGGGAGUGUGGUCUGAGAAAGCUUUAGCCUUCCUGAUAAAAAGGGUUGAACACACCCGGCCUCCUCCCCGCCCUCCUUCUUUUUGCCCUAUAUUUGGGCAUGUUGGCUACUAUUCAAUGUACUGCAACCAUGGGGCAAGGCCAAGAGAUUUACCACAACACUGGCCACCAUCUUUAGCCACCAGACCAACACCAUCAGACUCCUAUUUCCAGACUUCUUGUUAAGUAAGAAAUUGAAACUCAUGUGUUUAAGCCUCUGUAAACUGGGUUUUCUGUUACUAGCAGCCAAAUACAUUUUUAACUGAGACCCUUUAAAUCACCAAUAUUCUAGGAAAAUAAAAUCCACCAUUAUCAUUUAUAAUCAAAGUAAGGAAAAUAUACCUGUCCACAGUCAGUACUAAUUGGGAAAUCUCACUCAUGCUAACUUCAGAAUAUCAUCAAAAAGCAUCUAUCCUGAACUUCCAGGCUUCUCUUAGAUUUGUUCUGGCUUAAUUAAAAAAAAAUAAUAAUGGCCUAUUGGGAAAGACAGCUAACUAUAGGGGGGUUUACUGCCAGGCUGAAGAGGGAGUGAGUACCCGGUGUAAAGAGAGGGACAGACUCCAGAAUGAACUCUCACCUGCUUUGACUAGGUUGGCGAGUUCAAGCCCUCAUACUUUGACAGCAAUUAGUCGCAUAUCAGCCCGUCUCUAUGCUUGGAAUUCCCAGUCUGAUUCUAGACUUGUGAAGAAAGAACCUCCAGGACAAGAACACCCACUUUGAUGAGCUCAGACCUAGGAGAAAGAAGUACAGAAACCUUCUGAAUACAGAACAUAUGUUACGUAUACUCUACUGUCACUCGUGCCAAGUGAAUAAAUACUUAUUACUUAUUAGCAUUUGCUUUCUCUUACCUGGUUGAUGUGGAAGGGAAUGAGGUGCACACUGGUUCAAGACUGCCUUUUUCUCUUUGC
ensembl:lncRNA